GACGAACGCUGGCGGCGUGCCUAAUACAUGCAAGUCGAGCGCAGGAAACUGACGGAACUCUUCGGAGGGAAGGCAGCGGAAUGAGCGGCGGACGGGUAAGUAACACGUAAGGAACCUGCCUCAAGGAUUGGGAUAACUCCGAGAAAUCGGAGCUAAUACCGGAUAGUUCAUCGGACCGCAUGGUCCGAUGAUGAAAGGAGCUCCGGCGUCACCUUGAGAUGGCCUUGCGGUGCAUUAGCUAGUUGGUGGGGUAACGGCCCACCAAGGCGACGAUGAGUAGCCGACCUGAGAGGGGGAUCGGCCACACUGGGACUGAGACACGGCCCAGACUCCUACGGGAGGCAGCAGUAGGGAAUCUUUCACAAUGGACGAAAGUCUGAUGGAGCAACGCCGCGUGAGUGAUGAAGGUUUUCGGAUCGUAAAACUCUGUUGUAAGGGAAGAACACGUACGAGAGGAAAUGCUCGUACCUUGACGGUACCUUACGAGAAAGCCACGGCUAACUACGUGCCAGCCGCCGCCGUAAUAC
rnacentral:rRNA from 1 species